rnacentral:rRNA from 1 species
AUUGAACGCUGGCGGCAGGCCUAACACAUGCAAGUCGAGCGGGGGUAGCAAUACCCUAGCGGCGAACGGGUGAGGAAUGCUUGGGAAUCUGCCUGGUAGUGGGGGGAUAACGUUCCGAAAGGACGCUAAUACCGCAUACGUCCUACGGGAGAAAGGGGGGGAGUCUUCGGACCUCUCGCUAUCAGAUGAGCCCAAGCCGGAUUAGCUAGUUGGUGGGGUAAAGGCCCACCAAAGGCGACGAUCCGUAGCUGGUCUGAGAGGAUGAUCAGCCACACUGGAACUGAGACGCGGCCCAGACUCCUACGGGGAGGCAGCAGUGGGGAAUAUUGGACAAUGGGGCG